CGUAUCAUUACGCGAGAGGUGAAAUUCGUGGACCGUAGUGAGACGCCCAACAGCGAAAGCAUUUGCCAAGAAUGUCUUCAUUAAUCAAGAACGAAAGUCAGAGGUUCGAAGGCGAUUAGAUACCGCCCUAGUUCUGACCGUAAACGAUGCCAUCUCGCGAUUCGGAGGGUUUCUGCCCUACCGAGGAGCUAUCCGGAAACGAAAGUCUUUCGGUUCCGGGGGUAGUAUGGUUGCAAAGCUGAAACUUAAAGAAAUUGACGGAAGGGCACCACAAGGCGUGGAGCUUGCGGCUUAAUUUGACUCAACACGGGAAAACUCACCCGGUCCGGACACCAUUAGGACUGACAGAUUGAAAGCUCUUUCUCGAUUUGGUGGUUGGUGGUGCAUGGCCGUUCUUAGUUGGUGGAGUGAUUUGUCUGGUUUAUUCCGAUAACGAGCGAGACUCUAGCCUGCUAAAUAGUCGACGAAUCUUCGGGUUCGUAUAACUUCUUAGAGGGAUAAGCGGUGUUUAGCCGCACGAGAUUGAGCGAUAACAGGUCUGUGAUGCCCUUAGAUGUCCGGGGCUGCACGCGUGCUACACUGGUGGAGUCAGCGGGUUUUUCCUAUGCCGAAAGGUAUCGGUAAACCGUUGAAAUUCUUCCAUGUCCGGGAUAGGGUAUUGUAAUUAUUGCCCUUAAACGAGGAAUGCCUAGUAAGUGUGAGUCAUCAGCUCACGUUGAUUACGUCCCUGCCCUUUGUACACACCGCCCGUCGCUAUCCGGGACUGAACUGAUUCGAGAAGAGUGGGGACUGUGGCUCUGAGGUCUCACGACUUCGUUGUUGCGGAAACCAUUUUUAUCGCAUUGGUU
rnacentral:rRNA from 1 species